rnacentral:misc_RNA from 1 species
AACAUCGCGCACCUGCGGGAACCUGCGGAAGGAUCAUUACCGAGUGUAACCUACCCCUUAAAAAAGGGUGGUACCUCCCGUCCUUUGUAGGCCCCCUUUUAUGGGGGGGCUUUUAAGAACUUUCUGCUUCGGCGGGGUUAUUCCCGCCGGAACACCCUCAAAAAAAAACUCUUGAUCAAAAAACCGUUCCGUCCGAGAAAUUUUGAAAAAUAAAAAACUUUUAGCAACGGAUCUCAGAUC